rnacentral:rRNA from 1 species
GUCCUCUUGUUUUUUAUAUGAGGUCUGACCUGCCCAGUGAAAAUUAUUUUAACGGCCGCGGUAUUUUGACCGUGCAAAGGUAGCAUAAUCAUUAGUCUUUUAAUAGGAGGCUGGAAUGAAGGGUUUGACGAGGUAUUGACUGUCUCAUUUAAUUUGAAAUUAAAAUUUAACUUUUCAGUUAAAAGGCUGAAAUUAUAUUGGAAGACGAGAAGACCCUAUAGAGCUUUAUAUUUAAAACUAAUAAUAAAUUUUUGCUUAUUAUUAUUUUUUAUUGUUUUAAUUAUUUUGUUGGGGUGACAAAAAUAUAUAAAUAACUUUUUUAUUUAAGUAACAUUGAUUUAUGAUUAUUAGAUCCAGUCUUAUUGAUUGUUAGAUUAAGUUACC